GUGGCAGUGGAGAGGCUGCGUUUUCUGUGUGUUUUGAUUCGUGUUUCGACUACUUUGGUGUGCUUGGUCGCUUCGGUGAGCGGAAUUACUUCAGCGAACGUGCAUCACGGAUAUCCGCUUAGGCUUGGAACCGCUGGUGGGUCUGUGAGCGAGGGAAGACAAAAGGAAAGGCAAACAUGGACAUCCAGCAACGAUCCAAGCAGUGACUACUCAUGGUGACGACCAGCGGGUGCUGUCCGCUGGCCUCGCAGGCGAUCUUUGCGAUGUCCCCGCGCUUGACGGACACAUCUGACGAGGACUUGCUGAUGCGUGGGGGAACUGCAGGGGAAAGAGAUGCGGCCGGCAUUUCGAUGACGACCGAGGACACCUACAAAAGUCCACAUUUUCGGCAAGUGUACUGAGGAAAACUCAACGGUCGACAGCAGCAGGCACAACAGUAGAGUGACGGCUUGAAAACACAUCGGCUUCGGAAACAGACGCCUGGUGACCAAAAGUUAC